AUGCUCGCCGGCUGUGAGCCCCACAAAGUGAAGCUGCGGGAGGCCGGCAGCAGGCUUCACAGUAUGUGGGAAGUGUUGGUGGUGUUUGAUGGUGAAGGCCACAUGUACCUAGGGCCCGGCUGGGAGCAUUUUGCCCGCGCCCAUGAGCUACAGCUCAGGUACUUCCUUGUCUUCCGCUACGACGGCGACGCCAUGUUCACCGUGAAGAUGUUCGACAACACCAUGUGCCGCAUGUACUACCAGCACGACGAUGAUGCCAGUAAUGGGAGCAGCAGCGGGGAUGACGAGGAGCAGAGCGGGGAUGACGACGAGGAGCAGAGCGGGGAUGACAAGCAAAGCGGGGAUGACGAGGAGCAGCCUAUUCUGGCUGACGACAAACAUGCUAUGGUGGUGGCUGACGACGACCCUGCUAUGGUGGUGGCGGAUGACGACCUUGCUAUGAUGGUGGCGGACGACGACCUUGCUAUGGUGGUGGCGGACGACGACCUCGCGAUGGUGGUGGCGGACGACGACCUUGCUAUGGUGGUGGCGGACGACGACCUCGCGAUGGUGGCGGCGCCUGCAAUCCCACAGCUCGGCGACAGGACCAUGCCAAUUGUGAUAGAGGAGUACAUCCGCGUUGGGAUUCGCCACUCUGAGCGCAUCAGGUUGAUGAAGGAGAAGAAGGAGGAGUGA
rnacentral:rRNA from 1 species